rnacentral:rRNA from 1 species
UACGGAGGGUGCGAGCGUUGUCCGGAUUUACUGGGCGUAAAGAGCGCGUAGGCGGCUCGUUAAGUGUGAAGUGAAAAUCUCUAGGGCUCAACCCAGAAACUGCUUUACAUACUGGCGAGCUGGAGUGAUGCAGAGGUUUGUGGAAUUCCUGGUGUAGCGGUGAAAUGCGUUGAUAUCAGGAGGAACACCGAUGGCGAAGGCAGCAAACUGGGCAUCAACUGACGCUGAGGCGCGAAAAGCGUGGGGUAGCAAAACAGG